AGAGUUUGAUCCUGGCUCAGGAUGAACGCUGGCGGCGCGCCUAACACAUGCAAGUCGAACGGAGCUUACGUUUUGAAGUUUUCGGAUGGACGAAUGUAAGCUUAGUGGCGGACGGGUGAGUAACACGUGAGCAACCUGCCUUCCAGAGGGGGAUAACAGCCGG
rnacentral:rRNA from 1 species